GAUGAACGCUGGCGGCGUGCCUAAUACAUGCAAGUCGAGCGAACAGACGAGGAGCUUGCUCCUCUGACGUUAGCGGCGGACGGGUGAGUAACACGUGGAUAACCUACCUAUAAGACUGGGAUAACUUCGGGAAACCGGAGCUAAUACCGGAUAAUAUAUUGAACCGCAUGGUUCAAUAGUGAAAGACGGUUUUGCUGUCACUUAUAGAUGGAUCCGCGCCGCAUUAGCUAGUUGGUAAGAUAACGGCUUACCAAGGCAACGAUGCGUAGCCGACCUGAGAGGGUGAUCGGCCACACUGGAACUGAGACACGGUCCAGACUCCUACGGGAGGCAGCAGUAGAGAAUCUUCCGCAAUGGGCGAAAGCUUGACGGAGCAACGCCGCGUGAGUGAUGAAGGUCUUCGGAUCGUAAAACUCUGUUAUUAGGGAAGAACAAAUGUGUAAGUAACUAUGCACGUCUUGACGGUACCUAAUCAGAAAGCCACGGCUAACUACGUG
rnacentral:rRNA from 1 species